rnacentral:rRNA from 1 species
GACGAACGCUGACGGUGUGCUUUAGACAUGCAAGUCGAGCGAGAAAGCCCUUCGGGGUGAGUAAAGCGGCGAACGGGUGAGUAACACGUGGGCAAUCUGCCCCUCGCAGGGGGACAACCGGGGGAAACUCCGGCUAAUACCCCGUAAGCUUGAUGGAUCGCAUGAUCCAUCAAGGAAAGGUAGCUUCGGCCAUCCGGCGAGGGAUGAGCCCGCGGUACAUUAGCUAGUUGGUGGGGUAACGGCCACCAAGGCGGCGAUGUAUAGCUGGUCUGAGAGGAUGAUCAGCCACACUGGGACUGAGACACGGCCCAGACUCCUACGGGAGGCAGCAGUCGGGAAUCUUGCACAAUGGGCGAAAGCCUGAUGCGGCAACACCGUGUGAGCGAUGAAGGCCCUAGGGUCGUAAAGCUCUGUUGUUGGGGACGAAGGUCGAAGGGUUAAUAGCCCCUAGACUGACGGUACC